rnacentral:rRNA from 1 species
AUUGAACGCUGGCGGCAUGCCUUACACAUGCAAGUCGAGCGGGAAACUUCGGUUUCCAGCGGCGGACGGGUGAGUAACACGUGGGCAACCUGCCUCACAAUGAGGGAUAGCCUUCCGAAAGGAAGAUUAAUACCUCAUAACACAAGAGAAACGCAUGUUUCUCUUGCCAAAGAAUUUCGUUGUGAGAUGGGCCCGGGGCGCAUUAGCUUGUUGGUGAGGUAACGGCGCACCACGGCUUCGAUGCGUAAUCGACCCGAGAGGGUGAUCGGCCACAUUGGAACAGAGAACAGGUCCAGACUCCUACGGGAGGCAGCGGAGGGGAAUGUUGCACAAGGGAGGAAACUCUGAUGCAGCAAGGCCGCGUGAGUGAUGAAGGUCUUCGGAUUGUAAAACUCUGUCUUCUGGGACGAUAAUGACGGUACCAGAGGAGGAAGCCACGGCUAACUACGUGCCAGCCGCCGCCGUAA